AUACGGAGAUGGCUAGCGUUGCUCGGAAUCACUGGGCAUAAAGGGCGUCUAGGCGGAUCAGUUAGUCGGCUGUGAAAUCCCCGGCUCAACCGGGGAAGUGCAGCCGAUACUGCUGGUCUUGAGGUCGAGAGGGGAGAGUGGAACUCCUGGUGGAGCGGUGAAAUGCGUAGAUAUCAGGAGGAACGCCGGUGGCGAAAGCGACUCUCUGGUUCGAUUCUGACGCUGAAGCGCGAAAGCUAGGGGAGCGAACGGGAUUAGAAACCCGAGUAGUCC
rnacentral:rRNA from 1 species